AUUGAACGCUGGCGGCAGGCCUAACACAUGCAAGUCGAGCGGAUGAAGGGAGCUUGCUCCUGGAUUCAGCGGCGGACGGGUGAGUAAUGCCUAGGAAUCUGCCUGGUAGUGGGGGAUAACGUCCGGAAACGGGCGCUAAUACCGCAUACGUCCUGAGGGAGAAAGUGGGGGAUCUUCGGACCUCACGCUAUCAGAUGAGCCUAGGUCGGAUUAGCUAGUUGGUGGGGUAAAGGCCUACCAAGGCGACGAUCCGUAACUGGUCUGAGAGGAUGAUCAGUCACCCGGGAACGGAAACAGGGUCCAAACUCCAAGGGGGGGCAGAGGGGGGAAAUUUUGGAAAAGGGGCAAAACCCUGAUCCAGCCAGGCGGGGGGGGGAAAAAAGGUCUUCGGUUUGUAAAGCACUUUAAGUUGGGAGGAAGGGAAGUAAGUUAAUACCUUGCUGUUUUGAGUUUACCAACAAAAUAAGCACCGGCAAACUUCGU
rnacentral:rRNA from 1 species